rnacentral:tRNA from 1 species
AAGGGUAUAGCUCAGUGGUAGAGUGCGUGCUUAGCAUGCAUGAGGUCCUGGGUUCAAUCCCCAGUACCUCCA